CAGCAGCCACGGGAAUACAGAGGGUGCAAGCGUUAAUCGGAAUUACUGGGCGUAAAGCGCGCGUAGGUGGUUUGUUAAGUUGGAUGUGAAAGCCCCGGGCUCAACCUGGGAACUGCAUCCAAAACUGGCAAGCUAGAGUACGGUAGAGGGUGGUGGAAUUUCCUGUGUAGCGGUGAAAUGCGUAGAUAUAGGAAGGAACACCAGUGGCGAAGGCGACCACCUGGACUGAUACUGACACUGAGGUGCGAAAGCGUGGGGAGCAAACAGGAUUAGAUACCCCCGUAGUCCCUGUCUCUUAUAC
rnacentral:rRNA from 1 species